rnacentral:rRNA from 1 species
CGUAGGGUGCGAGCGUUAAUCGGAAUUACUGGGCGUAAAGCGUGCGCAGGCGGUUUUGUAAGACAGAUGUGAAAUCCCCGGGCUCAACCUGGGACCUGCAUUUGUGACUGCAAGGCUAGAGUACGGUAGAGGGGGAUGGAAUUCCGCGUGUAGCAGUGAAAUGCGUAGAUAUGCGGAGGAACACUGAUGGCGAAGGCAAUCCCCUGGACCUGUACUGACGCUCAUGCACGAAUGCGUGGGGAGCAAACAGGAUUAGAUACCCUGGUAGUCCACGCCCUAAACGAUGUCAACUGGUUGUUGGGUCUUUACUGACUCAGUAACGAAGCUAACGCGUGAAGUUGACCGCCUGGGGAGUACGGCCGCAAGGUUG